GGUUGCGAUCAUACCAGCACUAAUGCACCGUAUCCCAUCAGAACUCCGCAAUUAAGCGUGCUUAGGCGAGAGUAGUACUAGGAUAGGUGACCCCCUGGGAAGUCCUCGUGUUGCAACCC
rnacentral:rRNA from 1 species